rnacentral:lncRNA from 1 species
UAUUAAAUUGGGUUUAAUAUCAAAUCAGGCUCGUUUUGGAAAUAAGCACCAUACCAAAGCUAUUAUUUGGAUGUAGAUGAAAUUGACAGACGGAAUUCAACGAGAUAGUAAAUACCAAAUCAUGUUUGGAUGUGCAUACAGUAAAAAUUUGGCAUUGACCCACCUUCUCUCCAACCAGACAGCUGCUGCCUCUCAUCCUCCUUUGCCGUCACGAUAGCGGCACGGAAGCACACUAUCCUACCUUCG